rnacentral:rRNA from 1 species
AGCAGCCGCGGUAAUUCCAGCUCCAAUAGCGUAUAUUAAAGUUGUUGCAGUUAAAAAGCUCGUAGUUGAAUUUCGGGGUCAAUACGUCGGUCGUGCCUUCGGUACGUACUGGUGUUAUUGAUCUCUCCCUUCUGAUGAAUCAUGAUGUCAUUAAUUUGGUGUCGUGGGGAGUCAGGACUGUUACUUUGAAAAAAUUAGAGUGUUUAAAGCAGGCUCACGCCUGAAUACAUUAGCAUGGAAUAAUGAAAUAGGACGUUCGAUCCUAUUUUGUUGGUUUCUAGGAUCAACGUAAUGAUUAAUAGGGAUAGUUGGGGGCAUUAGUAUUCAAUUGUCAGAGGUGAAAUUCUUGGAUUUAUUGAAGACUAACUACUGCGAAAGCAUUUGCCAAGGAUGUUUUCAUUAAUCAAGAACGAAAGUUAGGGGAUCGAAGACGAUCAGAUACCGUCGUAG